rnacentral:rRNA from 1 species
UACGUAGGGGGCAAGCGUUGUCCGGAUUUAUUGGGCGUAAAGAGCGUGUAGGCGGCCAUACAGGUCAGCUGUGAAAACUCGAGGCUCAACCUCGAGACGUCGGUUGAAACCGUAUGGCUAGAGUCCGGAAGAGGAGAGUGGAAUUCCCGGUGUAGCGGUGAAAUGCGCAGAUAUUGGGAAGAACACCUAUGGCGAAGGCAGCUCUCUGGGACGGUACUGACGCUGAGACGCGAAAGCGUGGGGAGCGAACAGG